rnacentral:rRNA from 1 species
UACGUAGGGCGCAAGCGUUAUCCGGAAUUAUUGGGCGUAAAGAGCUCGUAGGCGGCUUGUCGCGUCGAAUGUGAAAUCUCAGGGCUCAACUCUGACAUUGCAUUCGAUACGGGCAGGCUAGAGUUCGGUAGGGGAGACUGGAAUUCCUGGUGUAGCGGUGAAAUGCGCAGAUAUCAGGAGGAACACCGGUGGCGAAGGCGGGUCUCUGGGCCGAUACUGACGCUGAGGAGCGAAAGCGUGGGGAGCGAACAGG